UAGGGAAUCUUCGGCAAUGGACGAAAGUCUGACCGAGCAACGCCGCGUGAGUGAAGAAGGUUUUCGGAUCGUAAAACUCUGUUGUUAGAGAAGAACAAGGACGUUAGUAACUGAACGUCCCCUGACGGUAUCUAACCAGAAAGCCACGGCUAACUACGUGCCAGCAGCCGCGGUAAUACGUAGGUGGCAAGCGUUGUCCGGAUUUAUUGGGCGUAAAGCGAGCGCAGGCGGUUUCUUAAGUCUGAUGUGAAAGCCCCCGGCUCAACCGGGGAGGGUCAUUGGAAACUGGGAGACUUGAGUGCAGAAGAGGAGAGUGGAAUUCCAUGUGCAGCGGUGAAAUGCGUAGAUAUAUGGAGGAACACCAGUGGCGAAGGCGGCUCUCUGGUCUGUAACUGACGCUGAGGCUCGAAAGCGUGGGGAGCAAACAGG
rnacentral:rRNA from 2 species